rnacentral:rRNA from 1 species
AUUGAACGCUGGCGGCAUGCUUUACACAUGCAAGUCGAACGGUAACAGGCCGCAAGGUGCUGACGAGUGGCGAACGGGUGAGUAAUGCAUCGGAACGUGCCCAGUCGUGGGGGAUAACGCAGCGAAAGCUGUGCUAAUACCGCAUACGAUCUAUGGAUGAAAGCGGGGGACCGUAAGGCCUCGCGCGAUUGGAGCGGCCGAUGUCAGAUUAGCUAGUUGGUGGGGUAAAGGCCCACCAAGGCGACGAUCUGUAGCUGGUCUGAGAGGACGACCAGGCAGACUGGGACUGAGACACGGCCCAGACUCCGACGGGAGGCAGCAGUGGGGAAUUUUGGACAAUGGGCGCAAGCCUGAUCCAGCAAUGCCGCGUGCAGGAAGAAGGCCUUCGGGUUGUAAACUGCUUUUGUACGGAACGAAACGGUCUGGGUUAAUACCCUGGGCUAAUGACGGUACCGUAAGAAUAAGCACCGGCUAACUACGUGCCAGCCGCCGCGGUAAAAC